GUCUGAGUUGCUUAGGGCCUCACUAAGUUGCUGAGGCUGGUAUCCCACUUGAGAUCCUCCUGCCUCAGCCUCUUGAGUCACUGGGAUGAGAGGUGUGUACACACAUACACACAUUUUCUUUAUCAAUUCAUUUGUCAGUGGGUACUUAGGCUGAUACACACACACAUACACACACACACACACACACACACACUGGAAUAUUACUCAGCCAUCAGGAAUGAAAUCCUGUGAUUUGGCAAUCAAAUUGAUGAACCUGGAAGACAUCGUGUCAAGUGAAAUAAGUGCUAAACAUGGACAGACAGGUAUAGGGCAUGUUCUCCACCAUAUGUAGAAGUUUAAAAACCAAAAUUGACCUGAAUGUAAAAUAGUGAUUGCUAAAGGGGGUGAUCAGUGCGUGCCAUAUGCACAUGAUGAAAUGUCAUCACACUGGAUCCCAUUCUUAGGUACCCCAGUUACAUGCCAAUCAAAUGAAUCCUGUCGGGGGGGAGCAGGACAGAACCUCAGGCAAGGACACUGGGGAUCAUUCAGAAGCCCAGAUGUGGCCACACACGAGUUGUUAGAAGGAGAUCAAGACUGAUCCCUCCCUCUGUGGCUUCCCAUCUUGCCAUCUGAUCCCUCCCUCGUGAAGGUAUUACCCCUGUGAUACCAUCUGCCCUAUGGUGAUGCGGCUAAGGAGGCCCUUGGCAGAGGCCAAACUAGUGGGGCCAUCCAGAUUAGACUUUCCUCCUCCAAAAUUAAUCUAACUGAACCUAUUUUCUUUAUAUGUUUCCCAGCAACAGAAAACAGAUUAAUACAGAUGACCCAAUUUCAAAAGGUUACAGGAUACAAGAUGAAUAAUAAAAUUUCAUUAUAUUUCUAUAUUCUAGUGACACAAAAAUUUUUAAAACUCAAUAUAUAACAGUAUUAUUUUCUCAAAAAGAGGUCUGAUACUUAUAUGCCACAGAAAUGGCUGAGGGAGAGAAGACCUAAAUCACAGCAGAGAUAUUCCAUAUUAUCAAUGGCAGUCCUCAAACCAGUAGGAUAGCAAUGCUUCCCAAAUGGAUCUGGAGUCCACACAGUGCCUAGGAAAUCCCCAUGGACAUUUUGUAGAAACUGGCAAGACAAUCCUAAAAUUGAUGUGGAAAUCCAAAGGAGCUAAACUAAUCAAAGCAGUUGAGAGAGAAUAAAAUUGGGUUGGGGAUAUGGCUCGGUGGUUGAAAACCCAACCUAGUUUCAAAACAGUGGCUCCGGAGGCUGAAGCAAGAGGAUCGCAAGUAGGAGGCCAGCCUCAGCCACUUAGCAAAACCCUAAGCAACUCAGGGAGGCCCUGUCUCUAAAUAAAAUAUAAAAAGGGCUGGGGACAGGGCUCAGGGGUUAAGCACCCCUGGGUUCAAUCCCCAGAACCAAAAGAAGAAUCUCUCCAGCAGGUGGAGACAGGCCUGGUGAGCUGGGAGCCCGGAUGUGGAGGGAGGAGGCAGGCCCACCUUGAUCAGGUUCUUCAAGAUUGGGGGUGGGCUGAGGGGAGAUGGUAGGUAGCUUCUGAUCCAUGAGGUCCUCUUGAGAGAUGGGGAGCCCCAACUCUUGGCUCAAGUCUUUGAUCAUGGCGGACGAAGGUAGCAAGUCUCUGACGAUCACCUCCCUGAACUUGGUACUACGGUAGCAGAUGUUGUAGAUUCUGGAAUGAAGAACACCCCACUCAUCCUCAUGGGCCUUGAGAGACGGGGACAGUCACCCCUAUUUUAUGGAGGACAUAAAACCCAAGAGAGGCUGAUUAGCUGGUGCCAGGUCAUAAAUGAAGUGCUCAGGUCUAGUUUGAUCUGCUUGGACUCCUUCCUGGAGAAUCCCUUCUUCCCUCUCCAUAUUUUAUAUUUUCUUUAGAGACAGGGUCUCGCUGAGCUGCUCAGGGCCUCGCUAAGUUGCUGAGGCUGGCCUCCACCUUGCGAUCCUCCUGCCUCAGCCUCCUGAGCAGCUGGGAUGACAGGUUUGCACUGGCGUCCCUCCUCCUUUGACUCCCAAGAAUUUACUGGUUACUCGUGCUCUGAUAUGAAUGCUCUUCUUUGAUUGUGAUCUGUCCUGCUGUGGCUGUGGGGUGUCCCCAGAGCCCCCAUGGGAGGCGAUGCAGGAAGGUCCAGAGGAGGAGUGAGGGGUUGUGAGGCCUGAACCCUGGCAGGGAAUGGCUCCCUGGGGGUCCCCUGGUGGCCCCUGGAGGCAGGUGAGGUGUAGGGGAGGAGGUGGCCCUGGGGCCGUGGCUUGGGGCUCUCUUUGUCCCUGGAGAGUGGAGUCCCUGCUCCCUGGUCCCCAUGGGAGCUGCUCCCUCCCCACACUCUUCCUCCAUGAUGUCCUGCCUCCCCUCGGCCCAGGAGUGGGCUGGGACCUGUGACACCCAGAGCCCCACGUCCACUGUCCCCCUCUGCAGUUGUGCUGGGGGGUCCUUGAGUCACAGCACAGAAAAAGCUGACUGAGCCACAGUCUCAUCCAUGACCCUCAACAGCCCAUGGAGAGCAUCCCUAGCAAGAUGGCCAGUGGUAUAUUCAGAAUCCUCCUCCACCGGGAAUGGUGAUAUGGCCGUAGCCUGAUUUCUGAGCAGAUCUCAGAAGACUGGGCCACCAGUCAUCCUGCCUUCCCAACCCCCAAAACUCCCCUUUGCCAGGCUCAGUGGCUAAUAUCUG
rnacentral:lncRNA from 1 species